CCUACGGGUGGCUGCAGUGGGGAAUAUUGGACAAUGGGGGGAACCCUGAUCCAGCCAUGCCGCGUGUGUGAAGAAGGCCCUCGGGUUGUAAAGCACUUUCAGUGAGGAAGAACGCCUGGUGGUUAAUACCCAUCAGGAAAGACAUCACUCACAGAAGAAGCACCGGCUAACUCCGUGCCAGCAGCCGCGGUAAUACGGAGGGUGCGAGCGUUAAUCGGAAUUACUGGGCGUAAAGCGCGCGUAGGUGGCUUGAUAAGCCGGUUGUGAAAGCCCCGGACUCAACCUGGGAACGGCAUCCGGAACUGUCAAGCUAGAGUGCAGGAGAGGAAGGUAGAAUUCCCGGUGUAGCGGUGAAAUGCGUAGAGAUCGGGAGGAAUACCAGUGGCGAAGGCGGCCUUCUGGACUGACACUGACACUGAGGUGCGAAAGCGUGGGUAGCAAACAGGAUUAGAUACCCGAGUAGUC
rnacentral:rRNA from 1 species